ACCUCGGAUCAGGUAGGAAUACCCGCUGAACUUAAGCAUACAA
rnacentral:rRNA from 1 species